rnacentral:rRNA from 1 species
UACGUAGGGCGCAAGCGUUGUCCGGAAUUAUUGGGCGUAAAGAGCUCGUAGGCGGUCUGUCGCGUCGGAUGUGAAAGCCCGGGGCUUAACCCCGGGUCUGCAUUCGAUACGGGCAGACUAGAGUGUGGUAGGGGAGAUCGGAAUUCCUGGUGUAGCGGUGAAAUGCGCAGAUAUCAGGAGGAACACCGGUGGCGAAGGCGAAUCUCUGGGCCAUUACUGACGCUGAGGAGCGAAAGCGUGGGGAGCGAACAGG